UACGAAGGGUGCAAGCGUUGCUCGGAAUUAUUGGGCGUAAAGCGCACGUAGGCGGCUUUUCAAGUCGGAUGUGAAAUCCCUCGGCUUAACCAAGGAAGUGCAUCCGAAACUGGAAGGCUUGAGUACUUAAGAGGAUCGCGGAAUUCCCGGUGUAGAGGUGAAAUUCGUAGAUAUCGGGAGGAACACCAGUGGCGAAGGCGGCGAUCUGGGAAGAUACUGACGCUGAGGUGCGAAAGCGUGGGGAGCAAACAGG
rnacentral:rRNA from 1 species